UGCAGUCGAACGGUAGCACAGAGGACUUGGUCCCUUGUGAGAGAGUGGGAGAGGGGAGUGUAGUGUGGGGGACUGUGCCAGGGGGGGGGAGAUAUCCUGUGAAAAGGGUCUAAUACCCCAUAUAGUCUCACGAGACCAAAGGGGGACCUUCUGGCCUCUUGUGCCCUCAUGUGCGCCCAUGGGGUUUUAUUGUGUGUGGGGUAACGGCUCUCCUCUGCGACAAUAUCUCUAUGGGGUGAGAGAAGGACACCCCCCACUGUGACUGAGACACACUCCCCACACCCACAGGAGGGGCCACUGGGGAAAAUUGUGCACUGGGGGCGCACCUGAGGCGCCCCCGCGCCGUGUGUAAAAAAAGCGUUCUCGUUGUGUAGAAUAUUUUCCGCGAAGAGGAGUGUGGUGGGUAAUAUCCCCACCAAUUGUGAUUUCUCUCAGAAAAAACACCGCCUCUAUCUCUGCGCCAACACGCGCGAAUAUACAGGGGGCGCACGUUAAUCUCAAUUACUGUGGGUAAAACGCACACGGGGGCUCUGUGUCAUCGCAUAUGAAAUCUCCCGGCUCUCCACGUGAACUGCGUCUCAAACUGUGACGCGAUAGACUUGUGUAGAGGGGUAGAAAUCUACGUGUGUCGCGGAGAUGCGUAUAGAUCUCUAGAAGAAUAGGUGUGGAAAGCGCCCCCCUGUGCACAGACAGUGACUCUCGUGUGAGAGCGUGUGGAGAGCACACGAUAAUAU
rnacentral:rRNA from 1 species